rnacentral:tRNA from 1 species
CGAGACGUAGCGCAGUUGGUAGCGCUUCUGUUUUGGGAACAGAAGGUCGCAGGUUCGAAUCCUGUCGUCUCGA